AUUUUUUACAAAGGGUAACAAGAGUACCAACAGAACAUUAGAUAAUGAAUCAGCUGCUGCAGUUUCUAUUUUCUCAGAACUUGAUUAUUCACUUCCUUUGCAAUGUCCUGCUGUUCGAGCUAUAUCUGGGAGUGAUAAUCAUGAUGCUGUGAGUCAAUUUCUUCAAAUAAAAGUAAGUCUUACAGAUGAUGAUGUUGCGCAGAACACAUUUCGACAAGAUACCUCUAAUCAACCUGAUAUGGUUCAACAAGGCAGUAUGACCUCUUUUAUAUAUACAACAGCUGCAGUUUCUAAUGCCGCCUUAUUUCAACAUGAGUUUGAUUUAGAGCCUACUGAUGCUACACAACAAACAAAUGAAGCUGGUCAACAUACUGCAAAUAAUUUGUCAUCGAUGUCCAACAGAAAAGCAACUCCCAAAACCAAAAACAAAAUGCAUAUCGCAGAUAAGAGUCUAGCUAUACAUACAAACUCAAACUCAUUUGCUGCACUUACCAAUGUCAAUAAUGAGGAUAAAAACUUGACUGGAGAAAAUUUCCAGAUGGUCGAGAGUUAUUAUCAAACUAGCUCAUCGACUACGGCGGCAUUGAAUAAAGUUCAUCCUAAUGAUCCAAAUUCGCAAAUGCAGGCCAAUGAUCAUAUUUCUCCAACCAUACCUUCCUCCAUUACACAUGUUGAGACAAUUAUCAAAGAUUAUGGGGAACCAUCAACCUCCACUGGAAAUACCAAACAAGUAAUUCAAGCUAAGAUGUGGGACAUGGUCAUUAAAUCGAAACUAUGAAAAGACCAACGAGAUUUUAACGAUGAUGAGGGCUGGGGAGAAGGACUAGCUGGUUAUUCAUCUUCAGAAGACGACCAAGAGUUUGAUCACGAUAGUGCAGGAGAGGACAUUGAUGCUCAAGUCAAGCCAAAAUUUCAAGGGAAAUCAGCAACAAUCAAUUGUCCUGCAAAUCUGUAACCUGCAGCAAACACAACAUCAACUUGAACCAUAAUGCUCCAGUAUUUGUUCCAAGAAAUACAAAUUGUCCUGCAAAUCUGCAACCUGCAGCAACAAACAACAACUUGAACCAUAAUGCUCGAGUAUUUGUUCCAAGAAAUACUACAAAAUUAGGCGAAACAUCAGCUGCUGAUCGAAACGCAACAGCACUGCCAACAUCUGCCCAGAAUCAUAUUGUACCAAUAAAAUCAAUCGCUACUUUGGAGGAGAGGAAACUGUUGGAUGCAAUGAGGCAACCUUUGCAUACAACACAGCGGCAACAAAGGAAUGCAACAACACCAACUAAUUUUCCUUCUGCCGAUAACAAAACAGUACCAUUUUCACAGAUGGGGCAGCACCAGCUCGUAUCAACAGCUCCAGAAAUCAUUCUACAGGACAAACAACUACUGGAUGCGAGGGCAGGAACAUAUAUGAAGAAAGGGAGGAAGAAGGGCAGCACCAGCUCGCAUCAACAGCUCCAGAAAUCACUCUACAGGACAGACAACUACUGGAUACAAGGGCAGGAAGACAUAUAUAUGAAGAAGGGGAGGAAGACGAUAUCUUAACGCAAUUCCGAGCAGGCGCGUCAAGAAAAGGUGAUUUGUCACCAAUGCAUAGUAAAACAAGUAAGAAGUCUCGUGAAAGGGAUAGAAGUUGGGACGGCAGGGUGUUUGAAGACGCAAACAUAAGGAGAUCCCCAAUGAGAAAUGCAAAACAAAAUUAGGUCACUGAAACAAUUCUUACAAAGUGCAAUUGAUCGAGGAACAAAGCAUGAAUUUUGAAGUCAUAUUGAGAAAAUUGUGGACGAAGACGUUAUUCUACAAAUUGAAUUUUCACAAAAUCGGAGAAAAGAGAGCACCUUGACGGCUUCUUCAACCUUUUAUUUUACCAUCUCAUUAGUAUUAUUCUAUUUAAUAUCAUCACAGAGCAUGUUAUAAACUCUGUGAUGAUCAUACUUUUCUUAGUUCUUGCUACUUCUUUAUUUUUUCAUGCUUGUAGUUCAUGAGGCUUUUAUUGGCCUCAAUAGGAUCAAUAAGGUAAGGUUUACGCCGGUUGUGUUAUAUGGGUAAAUAUAUCGGUGCAGUCCCUCCUUAUUUUAUCUUUCCUAUUUGUUGUAAUUUUCAUUUUCAUAAUAUUAAUGAAAACUAGCCCCAGGCGCUUGACUGGUGGAUUGCCAAAAAAAAUAUAAAUACACUUAAUUAUUUAAAUUAACUCUCAAAUCAAUGUAACAAACUAGGCAUAUAGCAGAAAUUAAGAACAAAUAUGCAAAUCAAUAUUUGAGUUCUAACCAUUAAAUAAAACCACUCAUAUAUAAAGAUAUAAUCUAAAUUGUGCUCUCUAAAAACAUUGACCAACUUAAAUCUAUUAAACAAUAAGUGAUUCACGUCAUUAUUGGAAAGUUAAAAACAAUCUGGUUUUAGCUCAAAUAAUUAAUUAUUAAGAAAAUGCUUCAAACAUAAACUAAUAAAUCAAAGUAUAAAAACAACAUAAUCAUGUUAUCAUGCUAUCAUGCUAUCGUCCAUUCCAUAGCUAAGAGAACCAUUUCCUGUACCUUUUCCCCACGUUCAAAUUCCUCCAAUGAUCCAAAAUUGCGAGGCACCAAUACUCGAUUCGGGGCUGUUCUCCCUUGGGUUCUGCAACUACUAGGUUAGAGAUUAGGUGGUGUCAAUUUCUUUUUUGUUUUUGUGUGUUGGUGUUUCUUUCACUUUCUAAAUUUUCUGAGUACAAACAAGGAAAAGAUUACAGAAAAAAGAUGGAAAUACCUUGGCAAUGGCUGCCGUUUUCUUGUCUUCAAGUCUUUUGGAAUUAAGAAUUGAAAACUUAGGGUAGCAUUUCUAUAAUUGAGUAUUUUAUAUGGAGAUGGGAAGAGAUAAUGGUCAUUGAAUUAAAAAAAAAAGAUGACUAGAAUUAAAUCUUACAUUUAAGUGGGCUAAUGGGUUGGAAAAAAAUAUGCUAAGGGUAAUUGGGU
rnacentral:lncRNA from 1 species